CGUCGUAGAUUGUUUACAGUUCGAACUUCCAUCAUCAUUGAAGGUACAGUCAAAGGAGAAACACACAACAUCCAUGUCGACUUAAUAAGCUUGGUAUGGGAACAUUAUGGAGUUCCAAUACAAAAUAUCACCGUAUAUAAUUAUGUAUCGAAUAUAACUCUGAAACCUCGGGACAUAUGGGUCGCAGGUAUGUACACUUGCAUUGUGGUUAAAAGGUACAUGCAUGGCCGUACGUCGACAGUAUGGAGUUAGCGGAAGUUAUACCAUCCACCAGCACUACUCCUAGUGACGUAAUGUACGAAUAUCCUCCUCUGAACAUGCCAUAUACGUGACGGUGCGAUCAUCCGCACAGUGAAAUAAAACCGGAAGUACAAUGGAUGUAGACCACAUCAACCGGAAGCACGCCACGACCGGUACAAUACAAGGAAUCGAUCACUUCCGACACUGCUGGUAUGCAUGGUUAAUAGGACUACACUCGAACGUCGGGCCCUGUGAGAAAGAAGAAAAAGAAAGAAACAGAA